ACAGCCCCCAGCCCGGGUGACGAAGCCCUAGGUCGCAGUGAUGGCUGUGGCCCCCCGACACAGUCGGGAUGUUAUGGGGGGGCCCUAAAGCAGAUGGUCCUGUCUCCGCCCCAGAAAACAGCAGCCUCUCUGCGGAGCCUGGGCAACUGGCCGUGGAGAAGCUGGACGGCGGCACCAGCACAGACAGGAGGCCCGAGGGCAGGGGAGGUGACGUGCCCCGUGGGACCCUGCGCAGCCGCGGGCACUGAGAGGGACACGGGGGAAAGCUGGCGACGUCCGAGUCCAGGCGGCACCGUCGAUUGGAUGGGUGCUCAGGCGAUGGGGCUGCGGCAGUGUCGGGGAGCCCCCCCCGCUGUCUCCACGCCCUGUGGGGGUGUCCGUGCAGGUGCUAACGCUGCACAGGGGGGGCGUGUGGUCAGGCCCCCCCGCGGCUGCAGAGGGCAGCAGGCUGUGGCUGGCCAGAGGCCAUGGGGCUGCAGGAUGUGGCGACAGGGACAGUGAGAGCAGGUCACACGCCGGCUUUGGUGCCCAGAGCCCGGGCUGCCAACACUGUCCCCUGGUGAGACCGCCUGUGACCGUCCACCUGGCUGCAGGCAGCGCUGAGAGGGUCCCCAGCUCAGUCCCGGGAGGCGCAGGGAUGCUGCAUGUCUCAGGGUGAAGGUGCGGGCGAGACCCCGGGGGCCCCACUGGGACGCCCCACCUCUCCCCUGCCAGGCUGGCAUGUCGGGGCGCUGCCCCAGGGGGACCCGGCCUCCUCCUGGCUGAGGAGCUCCGUGUGGCCCUGGCCGUCUGCCCCCGCAGGGCAUCGUCCUCCCCAGCCGCCCGCUGCCAGCCGCCACCCGGCCCCCCACGACCCAUGGCUCUGGCCUCAGGAUGGCCCCCUCCCUGCCCGGCCCAGCCAGCCUCCCUGGAGCACCGCCCAGGGAACUCCGAGCCACGCAGCAUGUCUGAAUCCGAGCGCAAGUGUCCCAGUUCCUGUGUGGGACGCACUUGCACUGAACAAGAGCCUUUCAUGCAGAGCUCAACUUCACUGGGAACUUGUUCUUUAGUCACUUCAAACCCUGCAACCCUAGUCCAGCCCCCCAAUGCCACGCGUGGGCGCGGGGAACCGGCCCACGCCGGGCCUGGGCCUGCCUACUGUCUCCCCUCUGCCCCAGGCACAGAAGCCAGAAAACGGCGUCACAUCCCCUGCCCCCCCCCCCCACGCCACUGCUCUCGGACUUCGGAAGCCAGCGUCUCGUGCCCCACGACACCGCCUCUGUGCCCCGGAGCCCCUGGCACUCAGGGGUGGGCUACGGCCUCCCAGAACCACCCUGGGCCAGAGGAGAGCCCGCUCUUCGCAGACUUGCAGGGCAGGGAGGGCCUCGGGGCUGGGUGCGUGCAUCUCAGGGACGAGAGGUCCUAAGUGGAUGGUCUGCCCCUCCCUGCCUCCGUCCCCCAUCCCUCCCCCUGCGCAGCUGUCAGACCACUGUGUCCCCAAUCCACUCGUGACCCCCCAGGCCCUCACGGGUGAUACGGCCUGCUCUGUGUGCAGCCCUCGCGGGCGGUACGGGCUAUCGGGGGACACGGAGCCUGCCUGGAGCGUGACCUUGGCCCAAGGCCACGAAGGGGGUGCAGCUUUCCUGGUAGAGGAAACAUGUAUGGACAGGCUCUGGGGGCCACGUGCAAUCAGUGUCCAGGGGCUGGGUGCUUAGUACUCCCAGGGACUCAGGACUCAGCACCUCCAAGGACAUGGUAAUUAAUACUCCCAAGGACUCAGGACUCAGCACCCCCAAGGAUGUGGUAGUACUCCCAGGGACUCAGGACUCAGCACCCCCAAGGACGUGGUACUUAGUACCCCCAGGGACUCAGGACUCAGCACCCCCAAGGACGUGGUACUUAGUACCCCCAGGGACUCAGGACUCAGCACUCCCAAGGACGUGGUAGUUAGUACCCCCAGGGACUCAGGACUCAGCACCUCCAAGGACAUGGUAGUUAGUACCCCCAGGGACUCAGGACUCAGCACUCCCAAGGACGUGGUAGUUAGUACCCCCAGGGACUCAGGACUCAGCACCUGAGCUUGGCAGAAACAUCAAGAGGAGAAGGGAGCUGCCAGUGUUGGCAGAAGCGGGGCCCUCACGGAGGCGGCUCGGGCACCGGGGCACUCAGUCAGCUGGGGGCAUGGGAGCCACGGAAGGGCCUGCCUGGGGACGGCCUGCUCCCAUCCUGCUGGGGGUGGGCCGCCGGGUGCCCCCUGUGCUCUGCACCCACAUCCGCCCGCGCCCUUUGGAAGCACUGAUUCCUGCCUCAGCCGGGGGGGGGCCGGGGGGGGCGGCCAGAGCCUCUCCCUCCCCUGCGGGCGCCGGCAAAAGUCGGGCGGGGGUGUGCCCCUGUGCUCGCCCAGGCAGCGAGGUGCCAGAGCCGGCUCUGGAAGGGCUGAGAGGCCCUGGGCGGAGGUGGAGCGCGAGGCCACCUGCUCGGCCCACACCUGGGAGGGCCCCGGGAGGCUGUGGGAGGCUGGUUUCGCUCCCCACCUCGGCACUGUCCCCUCCCAGGGCCACCCAGGCUCUGUGCCUGCCUGGAUGGCCUCUGCCCUGGCAGAGGGGGGAAGCUGUCUCACCUCCCCGGGGCUCCUCGGCCUCCUGCUCUGACCCCAGAAGCAGAAGCCAACAGCCCGCAGCAAGCCCCGAAGGCCGGCCGGGGGCCGAAGUCCCGGGCAGGGCAGCAGAGUGCCCGGCGGGCCCCAUCCCCUCCGGGGCUCGGGUCAGCCCCUCCUGGAGGCCAGAGCCCCUUCCCCUCUGCGGGGCAGAGCUGCACGCGGGGACAGACACGCUGUCCUGUCGAGGGGUCAUGCGCGUUCUAGGGGCCCGGCCCUGGGGUCCCCAGCUUCCCCCGCGGGGCAGGAGGAGAGCUGCCCUCUGUCUGGCGCCGCCCGGGGGCCAUCCCCGUGGCGUUCAGGCUGCAGGGAUCUGGCAGGCGAGGGCCCCCCGCGGGCGUGGCCGGCCUCAGGUGUGCACUGCGCGGGGACUCACCUGCUCGCUGGCCGUGGGGUCAGGGCUGGCAGGAGCUGGCAGGCCCGAGUGUGGCAGCGGGCAGCAGGCGAGCCCUACCCGACUUCCGCGUGGGCCUCACCCCUCCCUCCCUGGUCUCUCCUGCCUCGCUCCUCCUGCCCCUCCUCCUGCCCGGGCUGAUCCUCCUGCAGCCACGCCCCAGGCUGGAAGGAACACCCCUCCCUGUCCUGGGGACCCCUCGGCCCCCUGAGGGCUCGCCCUCCCCUGUGGGAGGGGCUCCCUGGGGAGAUGGAGUGAGAGUGGCAUCUGGGGGUGGAGCGUGGGAGGGCCCAGGAGCACCCCAGGGCCGGCUCCCGUGCACCUGCCUCUUCAGGUGGCAGGACACGCCCUCUGCAGGGUCCCUGCAGGGCCUGUGGCCUGGACUCCCUGCCCGCACCGCUGUUGGUUCCCUUAGGGGAGAAGCGGGGCCGAGUUGAGGACACCCCAAGGAGACACUCCCACCCGAGCCCCUGCGCUGUGGACCUCACCUAGGGGGCCGGGGCCCUUGGGGUCCUGAGGACCCUCGCUGCCCGGGCCGCCAGCCAGCAGAGCGCCCCAACAGCGACGUGGGGUUCCCAGGCUCCAGAAGCUGCUCGGAAGCUCAGGACAGCAGGCGGGGUACCCGGGGCAUGGCACGGGGACACGGAGCAGAAACAGGGGCACCCCCCACCCCACCCCUCCUGGCAUGGAGGGCAGGGGUGCGCACGGUGUCAGCCCGCCCCGGGCAACCCCGAGUCUGCACCCAGCAUGGGCAUCUACCCUGCCCCGGGGUCCCCCCGCUUGUGUGGAGGACCCCAUGGCAGGCUGUGGGGCGGCCAUGACCAGGCCGGAACUGGGACCAGCAGAGAUGGCAGAGGGACCUGCGUGACUCCCCCGGAGCGACUCUGGACUCAGCCUUAGGGCUGGUUCCCGGGGAGCCCGGCUCCGGAGGUGGACGCGUAGACUCACUGCCUUCCCCACGGAUGGGGGCCGGGGGCCAGGCCAGCACCAGUGGGGAUUUUUGAGGCUAAUUUUUAUUGUAUUAAAAUUAA
rnacentral:lncRNA from 1 species